rnacentral:rRNA from 1 species
GAAUUUUGUACAAUGGGCGAAAGCCUGAUCCAGCAAUGCCGCGUGCAGCAUGAAGGCCUUCGGGUUGUAAACUGCUUUUGUACGGAACGAAAACCUUUGGGUUAAUACACUGGAGACAUGUCGCUACCGUCAGAAUAAGCCCCGGCUAACUACGACCCAGAAGCACCGGUAAUACGGAGGGUGCAAGCGUUAAUCGGAAUUACUGGGCGUAAAGCGUGCGCAGGCGGUUUUGUAAGACAGAGGUGAAAUCCCCGGGCUCAACCUGGGAACUGCCUUUGUGACUGCAAGGCUAGAGUACGGCAGAGGGGGGUGGAAUUCCGCGUGUAGCAGUGAAAUGCGUAGAUAUGCGGAGGAACACCGAUGGCGAAGGCAACCCCCUGGGCCUGUACUGACGCUCAUGCACGAAAGCGUGGGGAGCAAACA